UAGCUUAGUCGGUAGAGCAGAGAACUGAAAUUCCUCAUGUCACCAGUUUAAAUCUGGU
rnacentral:tRNA from 1 species